CUGCAGUAGCUUUUGAAAUGUGAGAAGGUGGGAUAGAAGACUCAUUAAAAGGCCAGAGACACCAGCCAUUAGGUGGCUCUGCAUUCAUUACUGUUGACCAUUAACAGCAUUGUGUCAUAACGUCCUCGUCCAACCCACCAUCCUCCCCAUCUUUGCCUCUCCCAUGUUAUUUGGCUCCAUUCAAGCCUGCGUCUUCAUCUCCACCACCAACGCCUAGACUCCACGGGGUCCUGUCCUAAUCUCUAUCACUGCUGGACCUUCAGGUCAAGGUCACCAGGUUUUGAACUCUUGCAUCUAUGCAUUCGGUAAAGAUUUUGGUGCUGUCUUCAUGCAAGUGUGUUAAUUCCUGGAAGAGAUGAGCUGCAGUGGACCGACCAACAGCUCAGACGUCUGGCGCUUCGAGGAGGCUGGUGCCGGUCUGAUCAGCUUUGUUCCAAAACAAUCGAAACCUGAAAUGCCCUGAAAGGGAGACCAACAGGAUUAGAGAACUUGCUGUCUGUUGUUGUCUUAACACCAGUGUUUCAGAGAUAAAACAUAAAAUUAUUCAGAGUUCGCUUUUAAUGCUGUU